ACUCCUACGGGAGGCAGCAGUGGGAAUAUUGGACAAUGGGGAACCGUAGCAUCCAGCCAUGCCGCGUGUGUGAAGAAGGCCUUCGGGUUGUAAAGCACUUUAAGCGAGGAGGAAUGGUAUACGGUUAAUACCUAUCAGCUGUGACGUUACCCACAGAAGAAGCACCGGCUAACUCCGUGCCAGCAGCCGCGGUAAUACGGAGGGUGCAAGCGUUAAUCGGAAUUACUGGGCGUAAAGCGUGCGCAGGCGGUCUGUUAAGCGAGAUGUGAAAGCCCGGC
rnacentral:rRNA from 1 species